rnacentral:rRNA from 1 species
UACGUAGGGGGCUAGCGUUGUCCGGAAUCAUUGGGCGUAAAGCGCGUGUAGGCGGCCCGGUAAGUCCGCUGUGAAAGUCGGGGGCUCAACCCUCGAAAGCCGGUGGAUACUGUCGGGCUCGAGUGCGGAAGAGGCGAGUGGAAUUCCUGGUGUAGCGGUGAAAUGCGCAGAUAUCAGGAGGAACACCGAUUGCGAAGGCAGCUCGCUGGGACGUUACUGACGCUGAGGAGCGAAAGUGUGGGGAGCGAACAGG